rnacentral:rRNA from 1 species
UACGUAGGGGACGAGCGUUGUCCGGAAUUACUGGGCGUAAAGGGCGCGCAGGCUGUAGAUCAAGUCAGCUGUGAAAUGUCUGGGCUUAACCCGGGCAUGCGGUUGAAACUGAUGUACUGGAGUGCUGUAGAGGCAAGUGGAAUUCCCAGUGUAGCGGUGAAAUGCGUAGAUAUUGGGAAGAACACCGGUGGCGAAGGCGACUUGCUGGGCAGCAACUGACGCUGAGGCGCGAAAGCCAGGGGAGCAAACAGGAUUA